rnacentral:rRNA from 1 species
UACGAAGGGGGCAAGCGUUGUCCGGAAUCACUGGGCGUAAAGGGCGCGUAGGCGGCCAUUCAAGUCGGGGGUGAAAGCCUGUGGCUCAACCACAGAAUUGCCUUCGAUACUGUUUGGCUUGAGACCGGAAGAGGUUAGUGGAACUGCGAGUGUAGAGGUGAAAUUCGUAGAUAUUCGCAAGAACACCAGUGGCGAAGGCGGCUAACUGGUCCGGUUCUGACGCUGAGGCGCGAAAGCGUGGGGAGCAAACAGG